UACGUAGGGUGCGAGCGUUGUCCGGAUUUAUUGGGCGUAAAGGGCUCGUAGGCGGCGUGUCGCGUCGGGAGUGAAAGCCCGGGGCUUAACCCCGGUUCUGCUUCCGGUACGGGCAUGCUGGAGUGUGGCAGGGGAGACUGGAAUUCCUGGUGUAGCGGUGGAAUGCGCAGAUAUCAGGAGGAACACCGGUGGCGAAGGCGGGUCUCUGGGCCAUUACUGACGCUGAGGAGCGAAAGCGUGGGGAGCAAACAGG
rnacentral:rRNA from 1 species